rnacentral:rRNA from 1 species
GAUGAACGCUGGCGGCGUGCCUAAUACAUGCAAGUCGAGCGAAUGGAUUAAGAGCUUGCUCUUAUGAAGUUAGCGGCGGACGGGUGAGUAACACGUGGGUAACCUGCCCAUAAGACUAGGAUAACUCCGGGAAACCGGGGCUAAUACCGGAUAACAUUUUGAACCGCCUGGUUCGAAAUUGAAAGGCGGCUUCGGCUGUCACUUAUGGAUGGACCCGCGUCGCAUUAGCUAGUUGGUGAGGUAACGGCUCACCAAGGCAACGAUGCGUAGCCGACCUGAGAGGGUGAUCGGCCACACUGGGACUGAGACACGGCCCAGACUCCUACGGGAGGCAGCAGUAGGGAAUCUUCCGCAAUGGACGAAAGUCUGACGGAGCAACGCCGCGUGAGUGAUGAAGGCUUUCGGGUCGUAAAACUCUGUUGUUAGGGAAGAACAAGUGCUAGUUGAAUAAGCUGGCACCUUGACGGUACCUAACCAGAAAGCCACGGCUAACUACAUGCCAGCCGCCGCGGUAA